rnacentral:rRNA from 1 species
GACGAACGCUGGCGGCGUGCUUAACACAUGCAAGUCGAACGGAAAGGCCCUGCUUUUGUGGGGUGCUCGAGUGGCGAACGGGUGAGUAACACGUGAGUAACCUGCCCUUGACUUUGGGAUAACUUCAGGAAACUGGGGCUAAUACCGGAUAGGAGCUCCUGCUGCACGGUGGGGGUGGGAAAGUUUCGGCGGUUGGGGAUGUACCCGCGGCUUAUCAGCUUGUUGGUGGGGUAGUGGCUUACCAAGGCUUUGACGGGUAGCCGGCCUGAGAGGGUGACCGGCCACAUUGGGACUGAGAUACGGCCCAGACUCCUACGGGAGGCAGCAGUGGGGAAUAUUGCACAAUGGGCGGAAGCCUGAUGCAGCAACGCCGCGUGCGGGAUGACGGCCUUCGGGUUGUAAACCGCUUUCGCCUGUGACGAAGCGUGAGUGACGGUAAUGGGUAAAGAAGCACCGGCUAACUACGUG